AUUGAACGCUGGCGGCAGGCCUAACACAUGCAAGUCGAGCGCGCGUGGGACGCGUGUGUGUUGUCUGUUAAACUGUCUGAUGGAGUGGGAUAUCUCCUGUCAACGGUUUCUCAUACCGCAUACCCUCUGAUGUGCCCCGAUGGGUUUAGCUAGUAGGUGUGGUAAAGGCUCACCAAGGCGACGCUCCCUAGCGGGUCUGAGAGGAUGACCAGCCACACUGGAACUGAGACACGGUCCAGACUCCUACGGGAGGCAGCAGUGGGGAAUAUUGCACAAUGGGCGCAAGCCUGAUGCAGCCAUGCCGCGUGUGUGAAGAAGGCCUUCGGGUUGUAAAGCACUUUCAGCGGGGAGGCGUUACCCGAAGAAGAAGCACCGGCUAACUCCGUGCCAGCAGCCGCGGUAAUAC
rnacentral:rRNA from 1 species